CUUGCUUCUCUUGAGAGCGGCGGACGGGUGAGUAAUGCCUAGGAAUCUGCCUGGUAGUGGGGGAUAACGUUCGGAAACGGACGCUAAUACCGCAUACGUCCUACGGGAGAAAGCAGGGGACCUUCGGGCCUUGCGCUAUCAGAUGAGCCUAGGUCGGAUUAGCUAGUUGGUGGGGUAAUGGCUCACCAAGGCUACGAUCCGUAACUGGUCUGAGAGGAUGAUCAGUCACACUGGAACUGAGACACGGUCCAGACUCCUACGGGAGGCAGCAGUGGGGAAUAUUGGACAAUGGGCGAAAGCCUGAUCCAGCCAUGCCGCGUGUGUGAAGAAGGUCUUCGGAUUGUAAAGCACUUUAAGUUGGGAGGAAGGGUUGUAGAUUAAUACUCUGCAAUUUUGACGUUACCGACAGAAUAAGCACCGGCUAACUCUGUGCCAGCAGCCGCGGUAAUACAGAGGGUGCAAGCGUUAAUCGGAAUUACUGGGCGUAAAGCGCGCGUAGGUGGUUUGUUAAGUUGGAUGUGAAAUCCCCGGGCUCAACCUGGGAACUGCAUUCAAAACUGACUGACUAGAGUAUGGUAGAGGGUGGUGGAAUUUCCUGUGUAGCGGUGAAAUGCGUAGAUAUAGGAAGGAACACCAGUGGCGAAG
rnacentral:rRNA from 1 species